ensembl:lncRNA
AUCAAUAUUCUCAUCUGGCAAAAAAAGAGCAAUCAAUACCAGGGGGGCGAGUAUGUUUCGGAGAUCCCACCUUUACCUCCUCGGACACAGUUUCUCCUCACAGGCAAGAAACAAAGCACGAUACACACGAGUCAUUUUCACCGAUCCUACACAAGAAGUACUUCUCACUAAACCGGAGGGAGUCUGAAGUGUGUUACACUGUAAACACACAGUAAAACCAGAGGUUUUCUCCACAAGGACCAAAAUCAACAGUGGAGGAAAAAGUCACUUGAGGUUACUUUGAUUGAGAUGUUGAGGACUUCUUCCCUCGCUGGUGUCUGACCAUAAGGCCAAAGGGAUGUGUGAAAUAAGGAAAGCAGUUUAAGAUAAAGGCCCAAAGUUAUGAGAACCUGGACGCCGCAGAUGAUCAGACUGAUCGGACUGAUCAGACUGAUCAGAUCGUCCACGAGCAGGACGUCCCAGACUACGAGCAGGUUGACCAGGACGUCCCGGACUACGAGCAGGACGUCC